rnacentral:rRNA from 1 species
GAGGGUGCGAGCGUUAAUCGGAAUUACUGGGCGUAAAGCGCACGUAGGCUGUAUGUCAAGUCAAGGGUGAAAUCCCCGGGCUCAACCUGGGAACUGCCUUUGAAACUGGCAAACUGGAGUAUGUGAGAGGGCGGCGGAAUUCCUGGUGUAGGAGUGAAAUCCGUAGAUAUCAGGAGGAACAUCAGUGGCGAAGGCGGCCGCCUGGCACAAAACUGACGCUGAGGUGCGAAAGCGUGGGUAGCAAA